GGCAAGGCUAAAUACGAGAGAGUGACCGAUAGUGAACCAGUACCGUGAGGGAAAGGUGAAAAGAACCCCGGGAGGGGAGUGAAAGAGAACCUGAAACCAUAUGCCUACAAGAAGUCAGAGCCCGUUAAAGGGUGAUGGCGUGCCUUUUGUAGAAUGAACCGGCGAGUUACUGUAUGGAGCGAGGUUAAGCAGGAUAUGCGGAGCCGAAGCGAAAGCGAGUCUUAAGAGGGCGCGAGUUGCAUGCAGUAGACCCGAAACCGGGUGAUCUAGCCAUGACCAGGUUGAAGUUGGGGUAAAACCCGAUGGAGGACCGAACCGACCCCCGUUGAAACGUUGGCGGAUGAGUUGUGGCUAGGGGUGAAAUUCCAAUCGAACCCGGAGAUAGCUGGUUCUCCCCGAAAUAGCUUUAGGGCUAGCGUCGAGAGAAGAGUUGCGUGAAGGUAGAGCACUGAAUAUGUGAUGGCCCCAUCUCGGGGUACUGAGCAUAAUCAAACUGCGAAUGUCACGCCAACAUGCUCGGCAGUCAGACAGCGGGUGAUAAGGUCCGUUGUCAAGAGGGAAACAGCCCAGACCAUCAGCUAAGGUCCCAAAAUGUAUGCUAAGUGGAAAAGGAUGUGGAGAUGUACAGACAACUAGGAGGUUGGCUCAGAAGCAGCCAUCCUUUAAAGAGUGCGUAACAGCUCACUAGUCGAAUGACUCUGCGCCGAUAAUUUACCGGGGCUAAGCAUACUACCGAAGCUAUGGAUCCCAAGGGAUGGUAGGGGAGCGUUCCAUGAACGGAGAAGUACGACCGAAAGGACGUGUGGAGAUCAUGGAAGAGAGAAUGCCGGUGUGAGUAGCGGAACGUGGGUGAGAAUCCCACGCACCGAAAACCCAAGGUUUCCAGAGGAAGGUUCGUCCGCUCUGGGUAAGUCGGGACCUAAGGCGAGGCCGAAAGGCGUAGUCGAUGGACAACAGGUAGAGAUUCCUGUACCCGUAUAUAUGUGAAGGAAUGACGGAGAGAGGAAGCUGCAGCCAGCGGCUGGAAGAGCUGGUGCAAGCGAGAUAUCGGGAUGGCAGGCAAAUCCACCAUCCGAAACGAGAAGGCGUGAAGCGUACGGAAAGCUACGGCGAGUACGGAAGGCAGUGGAGGAACUUCCAAGAAAAGUUUCUAACGUUAAGUAUAUAUGGCCCGUACCGAAAAUGGACACACAUGGGUGAGGAGAGAAUCCUAAGGUGAGCGAGAGAACUAUAGCUAAGGAACUCUGCAAAAUGACUCCGUAACUUAGGGAGAAGGAGUGCUCAUAGAGAUAUGAGCCGCAGUGAAACGGCCCAAGCGACUGUUUACCAAAAACACAGCUCUCUGCUAAGCCGCAAGGCGAAGUAUAGGGGGUGACGCCUGCCCGGUGCUGGAAGGUUAAGGGGAGGGGUUAACGCAAGUGAAGCCCUGAACUGAAGCCCCAGUAAACGGCGGCCGUAACUAUAACGGUCCUAAGGUAGCGAAAUUCCUUGUCAGGUAAGUUCUGACCCGCACGAAAGGCGUAACGAUUUGGGCGCUGUCUCAGCUGUAGACUCGGUGAAGUCUUAGUACCUGUGAAGAUGCAGGUUACCCGCGACUAGACGGAAAGACCCCAUGGAGCUUCACUGCAGGUUGAUAUUGGGAUUUGAUGCAGCAUGUACAGGAUAGGUAGGAGGCAAAGAGAUGGAUACGCCAGUAUUCAAGGAGCCGCUGUUGGGAUACUACCCCUGUUGUAUUGGAUUUCUAACCGGACGACGUAGAGCCGUUGACGGGACAGUGUCAGUCGGGCAGUUUGACUGGGGCGGUCGCCUCCCAAAGAGUAACGGAGGCGCCCAAAGAUACCCUCAGCUUGGAUGGAAACCAAGCGCAGAGUGCAAAGGCAAAAGGGUGUUUGACUGCGAGACCCACAAGUCGAGCAGGGACGAAAGUCGGGCUUAGUGAUCCGGCGGUGCUGAAUGGAAAGGCCGUCGCUCAACGGAUAAAAGCUACCCUGGGGAUAACAGGCUGAUCUCCCCCAAGAGUUCACAUCGACGGGGAGGUUUGGCACCUCGAUGUCGGCUCAUCGCAUCCUGGAGCUG
rnacentral:ncRNA from 1 species